AGAACGAACGCUGGCGGCAGGCCUAAUACAUGCAAGUCGAACGCACUCUUCGGAGUGAGUGGCAGACGGGUGAGUAACGCGUGGGAACCUUCCCAAUGGUACGGAAUAACUCCGGGAAACCGGUGCUAAUACCGUAUAAGCCCCUCGGGGGAAAGAUUUAUCGCCAUUGGAUGGGCCCGCGUCGGAUUAGCUAGUUGGUAAGGUAAUGGCUUACCAAGGCUACGAUCCGUAGCUGGUCUGAGAGGAUGAUCAGCCACACUGGGACUGAGACACGGCCCAGACUCCUACGGGAGGCAGCAGUAGGGAAUCUUGGACAAUGGGCGAAAGCCUGAUCCAGCCAUGCCGCGUGAGUGAUGAAGGCCUUAGGGUUGUAAAACUCUUUCGUCAGGGACGAUAAUGACGGUACCUGAAGAAGAAGCCCCGGCUAACUUCGUGCCAGCAGCCGC
rnacentral:rRNA from 1 species